GACGAACGCUGGCGGCGUGCUUAACACAUGCAAGUCAAGGGGACCCGCAAGGGUAACCGGCGAACGGGUGCGUAACACGUGAGCAACCUACCGAGAUCUGGGGGAUAGCCGGCCCAACGGCCGGGUAAUACCGCAUACGCUCUUUCCACGGCAUUGUGGAUUGAGGAAACCUCCGGGGGAUUUCGAGGGGCUCGCGGCCUAUCAGCUAGUUGGCGAGGUCACGGCUCACCAAGGCGACGACGGGUAGCUGGUCUGAGAGGAUGGCCAGCCACAUUGGGACUGAGAAACGGCCCAGACUCCUACGGGAGGCAGCAGUGGGGAAUCUUGCGCAAUGGCCGAAAGGCUGACGCAGCGACGCCGCGUGUGGGAGGAAGCCUUUCGGGUGUAAACCACUGUUGCCCGGGACGAACAGCUCCUUCGUGGAGCCUGACGGUACCGGGUGAGGAAGCACCGGCUAACUCCGUGCCAGCAGCCGCU
rnacentral:rRNA from 1 species